AAACCAUUCUCCACCCAAGCCAUCCUCCAUUUUUGAGUUUUUAAGCUUAAAUUUUCAAACAUUCUUACCAUAAACUCUCAAGUUUCCAACACAUAAAUUUGAUUAUAGAUCUCAAAUAAGAGUUUGGGACCAAGAAGAAGGGAAGAAAGUGAAGUGUGGGUUAGCUUGGAAAUCUCACAAGAGAGGUAAGUUAAUUUAAUCUUUUUCUUUAGUUUAAUUAAGUGAAGUUGAGUUGAAAUUUCAUAUGUAAUGGUAGAAUUGAUGCUUGU
rnacentral:misc_RNA from 1 species